GGCGCUAUCAGAUAGUGGUUAUUCUGGGGGUUUACUACGCGGCUUCGCGCCAUCUGUUGCAUGCCCCUGCCCUUGUGGCUCCGGGGUUCGAAUCCCCGUGGCGCCU